GCAAUACGGCAGCGGCAGACGGGAGAGUAACACGUGGGAACGUACCUUUCGGUUCGGAACAACCAAGGGAAACUUUGGCUAAUACCGGAUACGUCCGUAAGGAGAAAGAUUUAUCGCCGAAAGAUCGGCCCGCGUCUGAUUAGCUUGUUGGUGAGGUAACGGCUCACCAAGGCGACGAUCAGUAGCUGGUCUGAGAGGAUGAUCAGCCUCACUGGGACUGAGACACGGCCCAGACUCCUACGGGAGGCAGCAGUAGGGAAUAUUGGACAAUGGGGGCAACCCUGAUCCAGCCAUGCCGCGUGAGUGAUGAAGGCCUUAGGG
rnacentral:rRNA from 1 species